CUAAAAUGACUGGUCUCAGUAAGUUGAAAUAAUGUUGAUGGAGUUGACUGGUUUUAUUUCCUUAUCGCUUUUAUGAGCAGCAGCAUUUUUAUGCAACAUAACAUCAUAAGCGUGUAGUAUGAUAGACUUGCGUGGCCGGUGCAACAUAUUCAUAUUGGUAAAGAAAUCACACAACAUAUCCCCAAACCAUGCCAAACAGCUAAGAUGUUAUAGAUGUUUGAAAACUCAAGAAUUAGAAGGCCAAUCUAAUCUCUGGGAACCCCAGUGAUAAGGGCAGCAAUGAAGAAUCUUGACAAUUGAGUUUGAGUGAAAUCAGCAAUUAAUGAUCCAUUCAUUCUUCAGAUAUUAUGAAGGCCCAGAGUUGCUUUAUUGGUGAGAAUGGAUGCCAUAUAAAUGCAACAAAUAAAUAAAUAUGCUUCGCAAUUCAGUCUCUA